rnacentral:rRNA from 1 species
AUUGAACGCUGGCGGCAGGCCUAACACAUGCAAGUCGAGCGAGCGGCGGACGGGUGAGUAAUGUCUGGGAAAAUGCCUGAUGGAGGGGGAUAACUACUGGAAACGGUAGCUAAUACCGCAUACCCUCAGAUGUGCCCAGAUGGGAUUAGCUAGUAGGUGGGGUAAUGGCUCACCUAGGCGACGAUCCAUAGCUGGUCUGAGAGGAUGAUCAGCUACACGGGAGCUGAGACAUUGUCCAUACUCCGUCGAGAGGCAGCAGUGGGGAAUAUUGCACAAUGGGCGCAAUCCUGAUGCAGCCAUGCCUCGUGUAGGGAGAAGGCCUUCGGGUUGUAAAGCACUUUAAGCGGGGAGGCGUUACCCGCAGAAGAAGCACCGGCUAACUCCGUGCCAGCAGCCGCGGUAUUAC